GUUACGAAUGCAACUUGACUUGCGAGGGUUCUGCAGCUUCGAUCUGGCAACCUUGUAGUGCCGUGCGAAGAUGAUGAACGACGACCGUUGUUGUCUGGCAGCUUCGACUGAAAAAACCAAGUAGCGAGGUUACACAUGCAUGUAUGGACAAGCACUGAUGGCUACUUUGGUCCUUGGACAACUAGUAUCAGCUUAGUGUGGCAAGGAGGAACCCUCGCUUACUGUUAGUUUUG
rnacentral:lncRNA from 1 species